rnacentral:rRNA from 1 species
AGCGAACGCUGGCGGCAGGCCUAACACAUGCAAGUCGAACGGAUCCUUCGUGAUUAGUGGCGGACGGGUGAGUAACACGUGGGAACGUGCCCUUUGGUUCGGAACAACUCAGGGAAACUUGAGCUAAUACCGGAUGUGCCCUUCGGGGGAAAGAUUUAUCGCCAUUGGAGCGGCCCGCGUCUGAUUAGCUAGUUGGUGAGGUAACGGCCCACCAAGGCGACGAUCAGUAGCUGGUCUGAGAGGAUGAUCAGCCACACUGGGACUGAGACACGGCCCAGACUACUACGGGAGGCAGCAGUGGGGAAUCUUGCGCAAUGGGCGAAAGCAUGACGCAGCCAUGCCGCGUGAAUGAUGAAGGUCUUAGGAUUGUAAAAUUCUUUCAGCGGCGACGAUAAUGACGGUACCCGCAGAAGAAGCUCCGGCUAACUUCGUG